CUCUUGACCUCCAUCCCUACGGAGUCUACCUUUUUGACGGCUGGUGUCACCAGGAGAAUAGACCUGAGAAGGAGUCUGUGUCCAUGCGCCCUGUUUUGACACAUCUGGCUAUGCAUGUCCUCGACCUGGAUACCUCCAUGGUAUUUUACCGCGAAUAUUGUGGCAUGCAGGUCGUGCACGAGCGCGUUGCCGACGGUCGACGUGUGGUAUGGUUGGCGGAGCCCGGGCGGGAACAGGAAUUGAUUUUUGUGUUAGUCCCAGGUGGGCAAGGCCGACCACAGGCGGCCACGGACUACAGCCACCUUGGUUUUGCUCUCGACAGCCGGACGGCGGUGGAUGCCAUCGCCGACAAGGCACGGGCUG
rnacentral:misc_RNA from 1 species